rnacentral:rRNA from 1 species
GAUGAACGCUGACAGAAUGCUUAACACAUGCAAGUCAACUUGAACUUUGGUUUGGGUGGCGGACGGGUGAGUAACGCGUAAAGAACUUGCCUCACAGAUAGGGACAACAUUUGGAAACGAAUGCUAAUACCUGAUAUUAUGAUUUUAGGGCAUCCUAGGAUUAUGAAAGCUAUAUGCACUGUGAGAGAGCUUUGCGUCCCAUUAGCUAGUUGGAGAGGUAACGGCUCACCAAGGCGAUGAUGGGUAGCCGGCCUGAGAGGGUGAUCGGCCACAAGGGGACUGAGACACGGCCCUUACUCCUACGGGAGGCAGCAGUGGGGAAUAUUGGACAAUGGGGGAAACCCCGACGCAGCAACGCCGCGUGGAGGAUGACACUUUUCGGAGCGUAAACUCCUUUUAUCAGGAAAGAAUAAUGACGGUACCUGAUGAAUAAGCACCGGCUAACUCCGUGCCAGCAGCCGCGGUAAUACGGGGGGUGCAAGCGUUACUCGGAAUCACUGGGCGUAAAGGACGCGUAGGCGGAUUAUCAAGUCUUUUGUGAAAUCUAGUGGCUUAACCACUAAACUGCUUAGGAAACUGAUAGUCUAGAGUAGGGGAGAGGUAGAUGGAAUUCUUGGUGUAGGGGUAAAAUCCGUAGAGAUCAAGAAGAAUACCCAUUGCGAAAGCGAUCUGCUGGAACCUAACUGACGCUGAGGCGUGAAAGCGUGGGUAGCAAACAGG